UUAGGUGUUUAUAGACUUAAUAGAGAAUUUGGUACAAGCCAAAGCGGUCACGCCACUGUAACAGCGAGGGACUUUGCAUAAAGGACGAUAUGCUCUUAGUCACUGAGAUAAUAUCUUGGGAAGGCGCAAAGUAACGUUAAGCUGGAGCCAGGAGAACUGCCUAAUUAA
rnacentral:ncRNA from 1 species